AAAAUCCCUUAUAUUAAAAAAAGGACCAUAGCUAAGCUAUGUAUCCGCUCUUAGAAGUUUGUAUCUCGUGUAGUAGUAGUAGACGUAAAUGUUUAACUAGCUUCUUAUUGAUGACACGUAGUCGUAACUGAAAGGUUGAUCGAUCACAAUGUGGCCUGAACAAAGCCCAUGACUUAUGUAGCAGCAGUGAGGAAUUUUGGUCAAUAGCCGCAAGGCUGAACCAGCAACUUGGAGGAAUCAAUGGCAAUAGCCAAUGCAUUAAUAUGAUGCAAUAUCGAAGUCGAAUAAAAUUCUGGGUAGACUAUGAUAAUGACAUUAUCUAUCUAGAUGUCUUGACCAAAAUACGUGCCAGCAGUCGCGGUAAGACGUUAAAGACAAGUGUUAUUCAUGUUUAAUCGGUUUAAAGAGUCCCAAGACUGUUAAUAAAGCCUACUGGGGACACAUUAACUAGAGUUAUAUGAAAGGGGGCUGUGAGGUACUGUCGGGUGGAGAGAUAAAAUUCCAUUAUACAGAUGAUGGCACCAACAAAUGCGAAGGCAUCCUCUUAUGUAAUAACUGACGUUUUCAGACGAAGGCUUAGGGAAGAAAAAUGGAUUAGAUACCCUCGUAUUCUAAGCAGAAAAUGAUGAAUGUCAUAGGUUGAAGAUAAAUAAUAUUUAUUUUGGUCUAUAAAUGAAAGUGUAAGCAUUCCACCUCAAGAGUAAUUUGGCAACAUUGGAACUGAAAUCAUUAGGCCGUUUUUGAAACCAGUAGUGAAGUAUGUUGUUUAAUUUGAUAACCCGCACAAAACCUUACCACUAUUUGCAUAAAUAUUUAUGUAUAUAUUUACAAGUGUUGCACGGCUGUCUUCAGUUGAUGUCGUGAGGCUAGGUUACUCCUAACAAUCAACGCAAACCCUUACUUUAUUUUUAUAUAAAGUUGUUCACCUGUCAUGGGAGAUGCUAAUAGG
rnacentral:rRNA from 1 species